rnacentral:rRNA from 1 species
GAUGAACGCUGGCGGCGUGCUUAACACAUGCAAGUCGAACGGAAAGGCUCCUGCUUGCAGGGGUACUCGAGUGGCGAACGGGUGAGUAACACGUGGGUGAUCUGCCCUGCACUUCGGGAUAAGCCUGGGAAACUGGGUCUAAUACCGGAUAGGACCACAUUUUGGAUGGUGUGGUGGAAAGUUUUUCGGUGUGGGAUGAGCUCGCGGCCUAUCAGCUUGGUGGUGGGGUAAGGGCCUACCAAGGCGUCGACGGGUAGCCGGCCUGGGAGGGUGUACGGCCACAUUGGGACUGAGCUACGACCCAGACUCCUCCGGGAGGCAGCAGUGGGGAAUAUUGCACAAUGGACGCAAGCCUGAUGCAGCGACGCCGCGUGGGGGAUGACGGCCUUCGGGUUGUAACCUCCUUUCGCUAGGGACGAAGCGCAAGUGACGGUACCUGGAGAAGAAGCACCGGCUAACUACGUG